rnacentral:rRNA from 1 species
UACGUAGGGGGCGAGCGUUGUCCGGAUUUAUUGGGCGUAAAGAGCUCGUAGGUGGUUUGGUAAGUCGGAUGUGAAAUCUCCAGGCUCAACCUGGAGGGGUCAUUCGAUACUGCCAUGACUAGAGUUCGGUAAGGGAGUGUGGAAUUCCUGGUGGAGCGGUGAAAUGCGCAGAUAUCAGGAGGAACACCCGUAGCGAAGGCGGCACUCUGGGCCGAUACUGACACUGAGGAGCGAAAAGCGUGGGGGAGCGAACAGG